rfam:Caenorhabditis elegans chromosome V
CAGUUCGGUCCGGAGUUGAUGGGUUAUUUAUUCUCUCGAUUCAAAUGCUCUUCACAAUGCUUCACAGUGGUUAAUAAUGCUUGUUUCUCCCAUCAACAACAACUUGACCGAAUU